rnacentral:rRNA from 1 species
AUCGAACGCUGGCGGCAUGCCUAACACAUGCAAGUCGAACGAGACCUUCGGGUCUAGUGGCGCACGGGUGCGUAACGCGUGGGAACCUGCCCUUAGGUUCGGAAUAACUCCCCGAAAGGGGUGCUAAUACCGGAUAAUGUCUUCGGACCAAAGAUUUAUCGCCUUUGGAUGGGCCCGCGUUGGAUUAGCUAGUUGGUAGGGUAAAAGCCUACCAAGGCGACGAUCCAUAGCUGGUCUGAGAGGAUGAUCAGCCACACUGGGACUGAGACACGGCCCAGACUCCUACGGGAGGCAGCAGUGGGGAAUAUUGGACAAUGGGCGAAAGCCUGAUCCAGCAAUGCCGCGUGAGUGAUGAAGGCCUUAGGGUUGUAAAGCUCUUUUACCCGGGAUGAUAAUGACAGUACCGGGAGAAUAAGCGCCGGCUAACUCCGUG